AUUAUUAUUAUUAUUUUUAAUUAAAACCUUAUCUAAAAUCUCCAAAGGGCAAAGGGCAAAGGGCAAAUACGACUGAACUCCACAGAAAGUUGAAAGCGAAAAUGGAUGGAUUGCAGCAAUUGGGGGUUCCAUUGAUGGGCAUUGUUGCAGCGGCAGCCAUUACCUUCUACGCCGUAAGCUUUUCUGAGAUUCGAGAGAAAUCAUUCAGAGAUUUGGAUGAAUCUGAGGAUGAGAAUCCAGGGUUUAAGAUGACUGCAAGUUCGAGAGAGAGGCGAGCGAGAAGGAAGGCUGAAAAGGAAGCGAAACGAUGAGAAUUUCUCUCUUACUCUUCUCACUUUUCUUCAUUUUCUUUAAGCUUUCAUUCCUUAUUUUGGUGCCUUAUCUGUAUAUUUUAAGUUAUACACUUGGAGACCACGAUCAACCGGUGUGAGGUUUAAAUUUUUA